rnacentral:rRNA from 1 species
GAUGAACGCUAGCGGCGGGCUUAAUACAUGCAAGUCGAGGGGCAGCACGAUGUAGCAAUACAUUGGUGGCGACCGGCGGACGGGUGCGUAACACGUAUGCAACUUGCCCUAUACUAGGGAAUAGCCCGAAGAAAUUCGGAUUAAUACCCUAUAACAUCUGAAAAGGCAUCUUUUUGGGUUCAAAGCUCCGGCGGUAUAGGAUGGGCAUGCGGUCGAUUAGCUUGUUGGUGAGGUAAUAGCUCACCAAGGCGACGAUCGAUAGGGGGCCUGAGAGGGUGAUCCCCCACACUGGUACUGAGACACGGACCAGACUCCUACGGGAGGCAGCAGCAAGGAAUAUUGGUCAAUGGGCGCAAGCCUGAACCAGCCACGCCGCGUGAAGGAAGACGGCCCUAUGGGUUGUAAACUUCUUUUCUACGGGAAUAAACCUCAGGACGUGUCCUGAGCUGAAGGUAUCGUAGGAAUAAGGAUCGGCUAACUCCGUGCCAGCCGCCGCCGUAAUAC